AGCAUCUGGUCUGUUCAACGCUUAGGUCAAGAGCACCGUCCAAAUUUAAACUUUUUCGUAGAACCAGUCAGCACUUACGAAUUUCUUAACGUCUUAUCGCUGCUUCAUAUGUGGUGCUAUUUAUUAUUUGGGAAUUGUUCUGAUCUGUCACAGGAUUAACACAUAUUUAACGCCACGUGAGCAUGCCCAGUCAGUAGCCGAGACGUUUGCGUCAACAGAGGACUGUGCUGUUUGGGAAGCCCUAUACUUAUUUGGAAAGAAGCAGUGCAUCAGGCCAAGUGAUGUCGCUUGCGAGGAGAAUCACAGUCCUUCUUCCUCUGCUGUCUUUUUUGCUAAUCGCAAUUUCCACUAGUGCAUCCAAUGGCCAAAUUGACGGUGGGGGCAUUGGUACCUGCAAUCAAAACUGUACUUUCUACUCAAAUGGGAGUAGCAGCCCUUGUAGCGCCAAUUGUUCCUGCAUUAGCAACAAGUACGACUAUUUGGGUACACCGCAAAACCCCCCAGGACCUGGGACAUGCUAUCAGGUUCAAAGGUUCUCUCCGACAAGAAAGGCUACAUAACAUGUUACUCUGAUAUAAACAACUAUUCAGAAAUAAUAAAAUGCGUUUGUACGCACUUCAUUUACUGCAUCGUCAUCGCUCUAAGUCGAUCUGCACCAUUCGUUCCUACAAUAAUUCUACUUUUCUCCCAAGUAGCUUAGUUCUGCAUAAUUAAGUUCUACUUGUCUACUUCCUUG